rnacentral:ribozyme from 1 species
UUUAGUCGUCGUUGUUGUCCUUCCGUUGGCUAAUUUCUUCCUCACUUUUCCGAGGUUUCUACAGAGAGUAUUCGCGCUGUUACACGCACACUUUAACGCGCAACGCAAUACUACUACUAAACA